rnacentral:tRNA from 1 species
CAUUAUGAAGCUAUACCAGCAUUAACCUUUUAAGUUAAAGACCUGAGAUAUUAAUCUCCAUAAUGA